CCGUGCUAGAUGGGGAGGUAGCGGUGCCCUGUACCUGCAAACCGCUAUAGCAGGGUUGAAUUCCUGCCCCAGGUUUAGGCUUGUAGGGUCUGGCCCGAACAAGUGGCGGCGAUGGUUGGGUCCUGCGCAACGGAAACCCAUGAACCCUGUCAGGUCCGGGAGGAAGCAGCAGUAAGUGGUUAUUUUCGUGUGCCGUAGGGGUGCCUAGCCGGAGCUAACUAUUCGGUUACCGCCUAUGGGUGCUAAAUCAAAGGCAGGUGCACGG
rnacentral:SRP_RNA from 1 species